UACGAAGGGGGGCUAGCGUUGUUCGGAAUUACUGGGCGUAAAGCGCACGUAGGCGGAUACUUAAGUCAGGGGUGAAAUCCCGGGGGCUCAACCCCGGAACUGCCUUUGAUACUGGGUAUCUCGAGUCCGGAAGAGGUGAGUGGAAUUCCGAGUGUAGAGGUGAAAUUCGUAGAUAUUCGGAGGAACACCAGUGGCGAAGGCGGCUCACUGGUCCGGUACUGACGCUGAGGUGCGAAAGCGUGGGGAGCAAACAGG
rnacentral:rRNA from 1 species